ACUUUAAUGUUUACUAUUUUUACAGUUACAUCUUCUCUCCUUUUUUCUAAUUAUACAUUCUUGCCCUGUCUGCCUUCCCUUCUUUAAACUUAAGCUAGCUAGUGGUUUAUUGUGCUAGAUUUCCAUCACUGUGACAAAAAUACUUGAGAUAAUUAAUAUCUGGAGAAAGAGGAUUGUUUUGUUUGGUGGUUUCAAGAGCUUCAGUCUGUGGUCAACUGGCUUUUAGGUUAUAUACUGAACAACCUAACUUUCUUCUAUUAGAUGUCACCUCCUAAGGAUCUACCACCUCCCAGUAGUGUCACAGGCUGGAAAACAAAUUGACAUGCAUCCAAUAACCUACGAUUCUUCCAUUAGACACCAUCUGUCCCUGAAGGUUCCACCACUCCCAGGAGGAUGGCAGGCUGAAGACCAAACUCCCAGUGUGUGAACUUUGGAAGACAAUUAUGCAAACCACUACACUUACAAUUUCAUCUUUUUCAUUUCAAAAACACAGAUUUUGUUUUUGAAAUGUUUGUAUGUUUCUCACUCAAUAUAUAUACUUUUGAGUGAUUUUCUUCUAUGAGCUCUGCCUUUUUAUUUUUAUUUUCUUAAAUUGAGCUUUUAAUGAUUUAUUUAUUUAUUUAUUUAUUUAGUCCUUGCUGUUGUUAGCUUUGGUUUCUGCUUUGUUUGUUGUUUGUAUUAUGAAUGCAAAAUUAAAUUCCACAAAUUUCC
rnacentral:lncRNA from 1 species